rnacentral:rRNA from 1 species
UUGUUUUUAAAUAUAAGGAGUUAGGCCUGCCCGGUGAAUAAUUUAACGGCUGCAAUGAGAGUUGUACUAAGGUAGCGUGAUAAGUUGUCUUUUAAUUGAAGACUGGUAUGAAUGGUUUGACGUAAAAAAGCUGUCUCUUCAAAAUAUUAUGAAGUUUCUGUUUAAGUGAAAAGGCUUAAGUUUUUGUAAAAGACGAGAAGACCCUGUCGAGCUUAAUUAAUUUUUAUAAGAUGUUAUAAAUUUAAAUUUUAUUGGGGCAAUAUAAAUCAAAAUACCGGUUUAUUCUUAUAUUAAGAUCCCUUAAGAUGGAAAAAGGCAAAAGUUACCGCAGGGAUAACAGCGUUAUCUUUUUUGAGAGAGCUUAUUGAGGAAAAGGUUUGCGACCUCGAUGUUGGAUUAGGAAAACUUUGUGGUGUAGCAGCUAUAAAUAGUGAGACUGUUCGUUUUUUAAU